rnacentral:rRNA from 1 species
AUUGAACGCUGGCGGCAUGCCUUACACAUGCAAGUCGAACGGUAGAGUAGCAAUACUCGAGAGUGGCGAACGGGUGAGUAAUAUAUCGGAACGUGCCCAGUCGUGGGGGAUAACGUAGAGAAAUUUACGCUAAUACCGCAUACGAUCUACGGAUGAAAGCGGGGAUUCGCAAGAACCUCGCGCGAUUGGAGCGGCUGAUAUCAGAUUAGGUUGUUGGUGAGGUAAAAGCUCACCAAGCCGACGAUCUGUAGCUGGUUUGAGAGAACGACCAGCCACACUGGGACUGAGACACGGCCCAGACUCCUACGGGAGGCAGCAGUGGGGAAUUUUGGACAAUGGGCGAAAGCCUGAUCCAGCAAUGCCGCGUGCAGGAAGAAGG